rnacentral:rRNA from 1 species
GGCGACGAUCUGUAGCGGGUCUUAGAGGAUGAUCCGCCACACUGGAACUGAGACACGGUCCAGACUCCUACGGGAGGCAGCAGUGGGGAAUUUUGGACAAUGGGCGCAAGCCUGAUCCAGCCAUGCCGCGUGAGUGAAGAAGGCCUUCGGGUUGUAAAGCUCUUUCGGCCGGGAAAAAAUCGCUUGGGUUAAUACCCUGAGUGGAUGAUGGUACCGGAAUAAGAAGCACCGGCUAACUACGUGCCAGCAGCCGCGGUAAUACGUAGGGUGCGAGCGUUAAUCGGAAUUACUGGGCGUAAAGCGUGCGCAGGCGGUUUUGUAAGACAGGCGUGAAAUCCCCGGGCUCAACCUGGGAACUGCGUUUGUGACUGCAAGGCUAGAGUAUGGCAGAGGGGGGUGGAAUUCCACGUGUAGCAGUGAAAUGCGUAGAGAUGUGGAGGAACACCAAUGGCGAAGGCAGCCCCCUGGGCCAAUACUGACGCUCAUGCACGAAAGCGUGGGGAGCAAACAGGAUUAGAUACCCUGGUAGUCCACGCCCUAAACGAUGUCAACUAGGUGUUGGGUGGGUAAAACCAUUUGGUACCGUAGCUAACGCGUGAAGUUGACCGCCUGGGGAGUACGGCCGCAAGGUUAAAACUCAAAGGAAUUGACGGGGACCCGCACAAGCGGUGGAUGAUGUGGAUUAAUUCGAUGCAACGCGAAAAACCUUACCUACCCUUGACAUGCCAGGAACUUGCCAGAGAUGGCUUGGUGCCCGAAAGGGAGCCUGGACACAGGUGCUGCAUGGCUGUCGUCAGCUCGUGUCGUGAGAUGUUGGGUUAAGUCCCGCAACGAGCGCAACCCUUGUCGUUAAUUGCCAUCAUUUAGUUGGGCACUUUAACGAGACUGCCGGUGACAAACCGGAGGAAGGUGGGGAUGACGUCAAGUCCUCAUGGCCCUUAUGGGUAGGGCUUCACACGUCAUACAAUGGUCGGUACAAAGGGUUGCCAAGCCGCGAGGCGGAGCCAAUCCCAGAAAGCCGAUCGUAGUCCGGAUCGCAGGCUGCAACUCGCCUGCGUGAAGUCGGAAUCGCUAGUAAUCGUGGAUCAGCAUGUCACGGUGAAUACGUUCCCGGGUCUUGUACACACCGCCCGUCACACCAUUGGAGCGGGUUCCGCCAGAAGUAGGUAGCCUAACCGCAAGGAGGGCGCUUACCACGGCGGGGUUCGUGAC